rfam:Glycine soja cultivar W05 scaffold717_44, whole genome shotgun sequence.
GAGAGAUGAUGAUUAUUACAUUGGUCCGUGUUUCUGAAUCACCGUGACCGACAACCCUUACCAAUUUCUGAUCUC